CCGUCCUUCGCAAAUGUAACAUCCAAAGCAAAAGCUGUUGAAGGUCCCAACGCGUCCAAGUCAAAUGAUGCAGGGAAGAGAGGGAAGAAGCCAAAUCGGAUCCUAAUGUCAACGUAUGGUGGUAGGCGUUACUGAAUUUUGAAGGAACCUGAUAACGAAAUCUAUCUGUAUAUUAAGAAAUGUUGUCCUUUAGGAGGAACCGAGAUUUGUUAGUUGUAGGUUUGAGCAUGGUGUUUUGGUACAUUGUUGUGAAGGUUGUAGUAGGUUCAGCUGUUUUGCUUCCUACAUCAUCUUCCUUUUUUAGUUUUUACUCGUUUCCUCCCAUUCACUGGUGUUGUUUUGUGUGCCG
rnacentral:lncRNA from 1 species